rnacentral:rRNA from 1 species
UACGUAGGGUGCAAGCGUUGUCCGGAAUUAUUGGGCGUAAAGAGCUCGUAGGCGGUCUGUCGCGUCUGCUGUGAAAACUCGGGGCUUAACCCCGGGCCUGCAGUGGGUACGGGCAGACUAGAGUGCGGUAGGGGAGAGUGGAAUUCCUGGUGUAGCGGUGAAAUGCGCAGAUAUCAGGAGGAACACCGGUGGCGAAGGCGGGUCUCUGGGCCGUAACUGACGCUGAGGAGCGAAAGCGUGGGGAGCGAACAGG